rnacentral:rRNA from 1 species
UACGAAGGGGGCUAGCGUUGUUCGGAUUUACUGGGCGUAAAGCGCACGUAGGCGGAUUGUUAAGUCAGGGGUGAAAUCCUGGAGCUCAACUCCAGAACUGCCUUUGAUACUGGCAAUCUUGAGUCCGGAAGAGGUGAGUGGAACUCCUAGUGUAGAGGUGGAAUUCGUAGAUAUUAGGAAAGAACACCAGUGGCGAAGGCGGCUCACUGGUCCGGUACUGACGCUGAGGUGCGAAAGCGUGGGGAGCAAACAGGG